ensembl:lncRNA
GGAACACUGAGGAUAAUAGCCUGUUGAUGUCUUGAUGGUAUUUAAUGCAAGACCCAUUAGUGGUGAGGAAGUGCCUUUCCUUUCAGAUGGCAGCAUGGGCAAGGAGAACUAGAAAGGUACACUUGGAGUCAGUAUAAAUGUUAGCUGUCUUUCCUUUGCUUAGUUCAAGUGCUCUUGUGAGAGGGAUCAGCUCAGCUGAUUGAGUGCAUGUGCCUGGUGAGAGAGGCACAUUUUCAAUGUUAUUUAGGGUGACUACUGCAUAUCCCACUUUACAGACUCCCUGUCCUACAAAAGAGCUCCCAUCCAUAAAGUGGGUCCAGUCUGGAUUUUCUAGGGGAAUUUCUUGAGAUCCUCCCUAGCGGCAUAGUUGUACUACAGUCUGUUCACAAUUAUGUUCAGUUUCUCCAGUUUCCUCUGGGAGGAAAGUGUCUGGGAUCAGGCAAGGACAGGUUUUUAACUGGACUGCAGAUUCCUCUGGCAGCAAAGCCUGAUACUUGAGGAGGCAGCUGUCUGUUAGCCAGAGACUCACUUUAGAGGACAGCAAGUCUGCCACAUUAUUUAUGUGAGGUAUAAACAGGUUAUUCCCCAGGGUUAACUUGGUGGCCUCUGGGACUAGCAGGGCCACUACUGUAACUGCUCAGAGGCAAGUUGGCCAUCCUUUAGCCUCCAAGUCAAGCUCUCUACUUAAGUAACCUACUGGCUGUUGAGAUGGGCCUUGAACUUGAAUUAAAACUCCCAGGGCCAUUCCUUUCCUUUAUGAUACAUGAAGAUUAAAGGACUUCCCUACGGAAAGACUGGGGGCUGGUGCUUUAAGCAAGGCUUGUUUUAACUGAUUAACGGCCUUUUGACCUUCAGGUUCCCAGGUCAGGAAGUGAGUUUUAGCCACUUGAAUUUCUUUUAUAAGGUGAUAUAAAGGGCAACCUAUUUUAUCAUACCUGGGUAUGUGUAACCUACAAAAACCCGUAAUGCCCAAGCAUCCCUCAGCUGUUUGAGGGUUCUGGGGAGAGGAAAGGAGGAAAUGGGAUUAAUCCUCUCCUCGCCUAGUGCUCUUGUUCCCUUCUGACAAGACCAGACCUAGGUACUUUACCAAAGUCUGAUAGAACUAAGCCUUAGAUUUUGAAGCCUUAUAUCCCUUUCCAGCUAGGAAAUUAAGGAGAGCCUCAGUGCCAUCUCAAGAAACUUCCUCAGUUGGGGCACAGAGGAGAAUGUCAUCUACAUAUUGUAAAACUUUAACCUGAGAAUGGAAGAAUUUGAAGAGAUCUCUUGACAAUACUUGCCCAAAUAGGUGGGGGCUAUCUCUAAAUCCCUGAGGCAGUACAGUCCAUGUUAACUGGCUGGUUUGAUUGGAGGGGUCUUCAAAGGUAAACAAGUAUUGGGAGUAAGGGUGUAAAGGUAUACAGAAAAAGGCAUCCUUUAGGCCCAGAACUGUGAACGAUUUAGUUCCCUCCGGUAUUUGAGUUAGCGAAGUAUAGGGAUUGGGAUCUACUGGAUGAAUCGUAAUCACAGCCUCAUGAAUAAGGCAGAGGUCCUGAACUAGUCUCCGUUCCCCAUUGGAUUUUUGCACCCCUAAUAUUGGGGUGUUUCAAGGGCUACUGCAAGGCCUAAGGAGGCCUUGUGCCUUUAGGUUAUCAAUGCUGGCUUCUAGCCCUUUUCUACUUUCUGGCUUCAGGGGGUAUUGUCUCUGGUUAGGAAAAAAAGUGGGAUCCUUGAGGUGGAUCCAGACUGGUAUAGUGGUUAUAGUCCGGCCACUUCUUCCCUGAGUUGCCCAAACCUCUGGGUUAAUACUGGUUUCCACUAAGGGGAGGCAGAGUUUGUCCUGGAGCCAUAAGGAUGGUGGCCCCCAUACGUGCUGGAGUAUCUCUACCUAAUAAAGGAGUGGAACUUUCAGGCAUGACUAAAAAGCCCUGUGUAAACAGUAGGUUUAUCUGACUGCAGCUAAUAGGUUGAGAAAAAUAUCAAGUUAAAAGUCUUUCCUGAGAUGCCCAUCAUGGUUGUGCUAUGGGAGGAACGAAGGCCAGAAUUGGAGAGGAAAACAGAAGACUGGCUCCAGUGUCCAGAAAGAAGUCUACCUUCCUCCCUUCGAAUUCCAAAAUCAUCUGGGGCUCCUGGGUAGUAACAGCAGUCUGAGCCACUGGAGCCAGGGAGUUGAGCCCCAGGACCCAUCAGUCCUGCUGGACCAUUUGUGAGACUGGCUCUGGACUCAGUGACCUAUGCUUCCCAGGACAGUCUGCCUUCCAGUGGUCCCCAUUGUAUACUGGACAGGGUUGAGGUGGCUUCUUCUUGCUGCCUGGGCAGUCCCUUUUGAAGUGCCCUGGUUUGCCACAUUGGUAGCAACUAGCAGGUGCACCUUGGGGAUACUGGGUUUUAUACAAAGUGGCCACCAGAGUCUCUGCCUUUUUCUUGUGUUUCCUCUCCUUCCCCUGGGCCUCCUCCUGGUCCCUAUUAUAAAAGACCGAGGUGGCUACCUUCAGGAGGUUUUGUAAGGUGCUAUCUGGUCCCAUGGCCUGUUUCUCCAGCUUCCUUCUGAUAUCAGGGGCUGACUGAGUAAUAAACUUGUCUUUCAAAA